rnacentral:rRNA from 1 species
GGAUUAGAUACCCUGGUAGUCCACGCCGUAAACGAUGAGAACUAGACGUUGGCUGACAUAGUCGGCCAGUGUCGCAGCAAACGCGUUAAGUUCUCCGCCUGGGGAGUACGGCCGCAAGGUUGAAACUCAAAGGAAUUGACGGGGGCCCGCACAAGCGGUGGAGCAUGUGGUUUAAUUCGAUGCAACGCGAAGAACCUUACCUGCCCUUGACAUACCGUGAAUUUUCCAGAGAUGGAUUAGUGCCUUCGGGAACACGGAUACAGGUGCUGCAUGGCUGUCGUCAGCUCGUGUCG